GGUCAGGCUGAAGACCUUACCCGAUUAGCUGAGAGGUGGUGCAUGGCCGUCGUCAGUUCGUACUGUGAAGCAUCCUGUUAAGUCAGGCAACGAGCGAGACCCACGUCCACAGUUGCCAGCAUACCCCUCCGGGGUGAUGGGUACACUGUGGAGACCGCCGCUGCUAAAGCGGAGGAAGGAGUGGGCAACGGUAGGUCAGUAUGCCCCGAAUCUCCCGGGCUACACGCGGGCUACAAUGGUUGGUACAAUGGGCAUCUACCCCGAAAGGGGAAGGAAAUCUCUUAAGGCCAAUCGUAGUUCGGAUUGAGGGCUGCAACUCGCCCUCAUGAAGCUGGAAUCCGUAGUAAUCGCGUUUCAACAGAACGCGGUGAAUACGUCCCUGCUCCUU
rnacentral:rRNA from 1 species